rnacentral:lncRNA from 1 species
GAGCCCUGCUGUGAUCAGUGUCCUGCGAGGGGAAUGCAUCCAAAUGCUCCCACGUUGGCCCAGGAAGGGGCUGCCCCAACAGGAACCGGCUUUGCUGCCACUGGAGUCCCCAGGAGUCGCCUGUGCAAGGACAGGUUAAUUCAGAUUUAACUUCUAAUGAGGUCUAUCUAACCAAUUUUAAAGCCUUGGGCAGACAUACUAAUUGAGAAUUAAGGGACUUUGAUGAUCACUGCUCUCCAAGCAGAACACAGCUCCAGCCUCCCCAUGCACUGCUGUGUGCCUCCCUGGCACCCACACCCACACGGCUUGGGUAGCUCAUGGCAUCACGGAAUGGUUUGGGUUGGAAGGACCUUAAAUCUCAUCCAGCCCCAGCCCUGCCAUGGGGAGGGACACCAGGGUGCUCAAGGCCCUGCCCAUCAUGGCCUUGGACACUGCAGGGAUGGGGCAUAAACGAAGAACAAAGGAGCGGAGCUGGAGCUCGCCGAGCCCCGCGGGUGGCACAGACCCAGCAAUGCCCGGCUGGCUGCGGCCAGCGGGAGCCGGGGGAGCCGGGAGCUGCGGGAGCGGGGAGCUGCGGGAGCGGGGAGAUGCGGGAGAUGCGGGAGCCGGGAGCUGCGGGAGCCGGGGGAGCUGCGGGAGCUGGAGGAGCUGCGGGAGCCGGGGGAGCGGGGAGCUGCGGGAGCCGGGAGCUGCGGGAGCGGGGAGCUGCGGGAGAUGCGGGAGCGGGGAGCUGCGGGAGCCGGGGGAGCUGCGGGAGCCGGGGGAGCUGCGGGAGCUGCGGGAGCCGGGAGAUGCGGGAGCCGGGGGAGCUGCGGGAGCUGCGGGAGCCGGAGGAGCUGCGGGAGCCGGGGGAGCUGCGGGAGCUGCGGGAGCUGCGGGAGCCGGGGGAGCUGCGGGAGCCGGGAGCUGCGGGAGCCGGGGGAGCUGGGGCAGCUGCGGGAGCUGCGAGAGCUGCGAGAGCUGCGGGAGCCAGGGGAGCUGCGGGAGCUGCGGGAGCCGGGGGAGCUGCGGGAGCCGGGGGAGCUGCGGGAGCCGGGGCCGCAUCCCGGGCGGGCAGUGCUCCGGGUGCCGCUGGCGCUGCCCGCUCCGCUCCGCUCGGACACGCCGGGCCCGGCUCCCCCGGCCAGAGCAGCUGCGCUGGGUCCCGUCCAGCCCUUCCCCGGCCAUGGCUCGCCCUGGGCUGGCGGCCGAGCCCGUUGGCUCCGGCUCCCUUCCAGCUCCAAUUUGCCUCAUCUGCUUCCUGCGGCCAGGGCUGCAUCCCCCGGCCGCCCGCUCCCGCCAGGGCUCGGGGGGAAGGGUCGGGGUCCCGCAGCUGCUGCGGCACCGCACGUGCGUGGGGAGGCGGAGGGACGAGAACAAUAACACGGAGCAGGGGAGGGAGAAAAAGAGAAGCAAAACCCAACUCUGAA